rnacentral:rRNA from 1 species
ACAAGUUCAACGGCCGCGGUAUUUUGACCGUGCAAAGGUAGCGCAAUCACUUGUCUUUUAAAUAGAGACCUGUAUGAAUGGCUAAACGAGGGCUUAACUGUCUCCCCUUUCAAGUCAGUGAAAUUGAUCUACCCGUGCAGAAGCGGGUAUAACAAUACAAGACGAGAAGACCCUUUGGAGCUUAAGGUACAAAACUCAACCACGUCAAACAACUCAAUAAAAAGUAAAAACUUUGUGAAACAUGAGACUUUACCUUCGGUUGGGGCGACCACGGAGGAAAAAUAAGCCUCCAGGUGGACCGGGACAGACUCCUAAAACCAAGAGAGACAUCUCUAAGCCACAGAACAUCUGACCAAACAUGAUCCGGUCACCAGGACCGAUCAACGAACCAAGUUACCCUAGGGAUAACAGCGCAAUCCCCUCCCAGAGUCCAUAUCGACGAGGGGGUUUACGACCUCGAUGUUGGAUCAGGACAUCCUAAUGGUGCAGCCGCUAUUAAGGGUUCGUUUGUUCAACGAUUAAAGUCCUACGUGAUC